GCUCCGGUGGCCUAGUGGUUAGAGCGUCCGUCUUGGAUGCGGAAGGUCGUGGCUUCGAUCCCCGGCCAAAUCA